rnacentral:rRNA from 1 species
GACGAACGCUGGCGGCGUGCUUAACACAUGCAAGUCGAACGGAAAGGCCCUGCUUUUGUGGGGUGCUCGAGUGGCGAACGGGUGAGUAACACGUGAGUAACCUGCCCUUGACUUUGGGAUAACUUCAGGAAACUGGGGCUAAUACCGGAUAGGAGCUCCUGCUGCAUGGUGGGGGUUGGAAAGUUUCGGCGGUUGGGGAUGGACUCGCGGCUUAUCAGCUUGUUGGUGGGGUAGUGGCUUACCAAGGCUUUGACGGGUAGCCGGCCUGAGAGGGUGACCGGCCACAUUGGGACUGAGAUACGGCCCAGACGCCUACGGGAGGCAGCAGUGGGGAAUAUUGCACAAUGGGCGGAAGCCUGAUGCAGCAACGCCGCGUGCGGGAUGACGGCCUUCGGGUUGUAAACCGCUUUAGCCUGUGACGAAGCGUGAGUGACGGUAAUGGGUAAAGAAGCACCGGCUAACUACGUG